CCUGUCUCCAGGCACAGGAGGGGGAGGUAGAGAUGAGGAGGGGAGGGUGGAGAGAAGAUGUUUGGAGAUCUGUUUUUACUUCUCACUAUCCUGCUCUGAUUUUGCUGGUAAUAAAUUCAGUUAUUAUCCCCAAAUUUAAUGUGGUUUGGCCUUGAUGUUAUUUGCUGAGUGAUCUCUCCGGGUCCUCAUGUCAACCCUUGAACCUUACUUUAUAUUUUCUCUCUGCUGUUCAGUUGCAGAAGGAGUGAGUAGCUUUGGUGGGUGCCUGAUAUCCAGCCAGCAUCAAGCCUCUAUAGGACAGAAAGUACUUAACCUGGAUGAAUGGAAGUCUCCUGUAAAUUAUAGAAUGAAUGAAGAUAAGAAGCUCUCCAGCUGAAACUCAGAAGGGAUUGAAUAUAUUCUUCUGGCAUUGGCAUGGAGUGCCACUCUGCCUCAAGUGGAAAUGCAAAGGAAGCUGGCUGCAUUACUCAUUAAGCUGGAGCUUUGCUGGAUGCUACACAGACCCUUGGGUGGCACACAAAGGGGCUCAUUGCCAGAAUCACAUAUCAGUGGACCUUUGCUGGACUGUGCUAGAGGCGGAUUGAGGCAACAAAGAGAACUUAAAAAAGAAAAUUAGGAAAAGACAGCUACAUAGAGGAUGAUGGCUGGAGGAAUGCAUAAGGAGUCAACAGUAGCCAAGACAGAUAAUCUUUAUCUCAGAAAAAAUGAGUAAAUGUAAAAGAAAGGAUAUUCAGAUAGAAAAAGGGAAAAUAAAGGCAUUUUCUAGGUUUGUCUCUCUAGUAAC
rnacentral:lncRNA from 1 species